GCCCUUCCUGCUGCCGCUGUGAGCCGCCUGCUGCAGGGGAGAAAAGGCUGAAGCUGCCAGAAAAAAACUGUCAGUGCCCUUGGCUGGCUCAGCGCCCAGUGCCAACAGAACACCUUGCAGGAUCCUCAGCAGCGCAGACAACACUCCAAGAUGCCGGCCUCGGCUUGGAACGGAGCGGUGUCAUGGCGGAGACGACGGCCUUUGUCUCGCAGGGUGUGAAAGCAUCCGUUGUGC